rnacentral:ncRNA from 2 species
UGGAACAAUGUAGGUAAAGGAAGUCCUCAAGCCGGAUCCAUAACUUCGGGAUAAGUAUUGGCUGUAAGGGCUGGGUCGGUUGGGCUGGGUGCGUGCCGCCGCUCGACGAGGCCCCGCUGCCCCCCCCAAGCCCCAGGAAUGCCUGUUGUGGCCCUCCCCUGCCCCAACCCGUGUGCUGCUCACUCCCUCCCCCGCCCCCUCUCUCUCUGUCCUCCCCCUCUAUGGAGGUGGUGUGUGGGGGCGGAGGGGUGGCAGUGGCCAUACAGCCCCAGUGGCAGGGCAUGAUCUCCCGUGAGGGGGUGCUGGUGGUGGUGGUGACUCUGGACACAAGCUGGGCCCUUCCCAUGGAUUGCCCCAGUUGUGGCCACCCAUGGGGAGCCCAGUGGGUGCUGGUGUGUCCUGUCUCGCUCUGCGCUGUCAUGCGUGUCAGCGUGGGCAGGGAGUGAUUGGGUCAGUGGGUGGCAGGCGGGGUGGUUCAUUCCCCCACCUCCCCCGCAGCCCCAUCUGUCUCCUGUCCCCCCCUCCGUGGAGGUGGCGGGCCGCGGGCUGGUCCCCGCCACAGGGGCCACGGUUCCAUGCAGCACCUCCGCCGGUGCUUAGCAGCCGACUUAUAGAACUGUGUGCACCAGGGGAAUCCAACUGUUUAAACAAAGCAUCGCGAAGGCCCUCGGGGGGUGUUGCAAAGUGAUUUCUGCCCAGUGCUCUGAAUGUCAAAAUGAAGAAAUUCAAUGAAGUAUGGGUAAAUGGCGGAAGUAACUAUGGCUCUCUUAAGGUAGCCAAAUGCCUCGUCAUCUAACUAGUGACGUGCGUGAAUGGAUGAAUGAGAUUCCCACUGUCCCUACCUACUUACUAUCCAGUGAAACCACAGCCAAGGGAAUGGGGUUGGUGGAAUCAGUGGGGAAAGAAGAACCUGUUGAGCUUGACUGUAGUCUGGCAUGGUGAAGAGACAUGAGAGGUGUAGAAUAAGUGGGAGGUCCCCAGUGCCCCCCUAUCCCCGUGAGGGGGUGGGGUGGGGUCCUGUGGGCUGCCCAUGGAAUACUACUACUCUGAUCGUUUUUUCACUGACCUGGUGAGGCAGGGGGUGAGCCCCUAGGGGCCCUCCCUUCUGGCGCCAAGUGCCCAGCUGCACGCCGGCCGGGUGUUGACCCGUCCCGAGGACAGUGCCAGGUGGGGAGUUUGGGAUAGUACACCUGUCAAACGGUAAUGCAGGUGUCCUAAGGAGAGCUCAGGGAGGACAGAAACCUCUUGUGGAGCAGAAGGGCAAAAGCUCGCUUGAUCGUGAUUUUCAGUGCGAAUACAGACUGAAAGCUGGGCUUUGACGAUCAUUCUGACGUUUUUAAGCAGGAGGUAUCAGAAGUUACCACAGGGGAUAACUGGUUCGUUGCGGCCAAGCAUUCAUAGGGAUGUUUUUUGAUCCUGUAAUGUUGGUUCUUCCUAUCAUUGUGAAGUAGAAUUCACCAAGCAUUGGAUUGUUCACCCACUAAUAGGGCAUGUGAGCUGGAUUUAGAUCGUAGUGAGACAGGUUAGUUUUACCCUCCGUGAUGUGUGUUGUUGCAAUGGUAAUCCUGCUCAGCAUGAGAGGAAUGGCAAGUUCAGACAUGUGCUUGGUUGAGGAGCCAAUGGGGUGAAGCUACGGUCUGUUGGAUUGUGACUGAACGCCUCUAAGUCAGAAUCCUGCCCAGGCGGAAGGAUACAGCA